UACAGAGGUCUCAAGCGUUGUUCGGAUUCAUUGGGCGUAAAGGGUGCGUAGGCGGCGCGGUAAGACGGGUGUGAAAUCUCGGAGCUUAACUCCGAAACUGCAUUCGAUACUGCCGUGCUUGAGGACUGGAGAGGAGACUGGAAUUUACGGUGUAGCGGUGAAAUGCGUAGAUAUCGUAAGGAAGACCAGUGGCGAAGGCGGGUCUCUGGACAGUUCCUGACGCUGAGGCACGAAGGUCAGGGGAGCAAACGGG
rnacentral:rRNA from 1 species